UACGUAGGGUGCAAGCGUUAAUCGGAAUUACUGGGCGUAAAGCGUGCGCAGGCGGCUAUGCAAGACAGAUGUGAAAUCCCCGGGCUCAACCUGGGAACUGCAUUUGUGACUGCAUGGCUAGAGUACGGUAGAGGGGGAUGGAAUUCCGCGUGUAGCAGUGAAAUGCGUAGAUAUGCGGAGGAACACCGAUGGCGAAGGCAAUCCCCUGGACCUGUACUGACGCUGAGGCGCGAAAGCGUGGGGAGCAAAC
rnacentral:rRNA from 1 species